AGCAGCCGCGGUAAUUCCAGCUCCAAUAGCGUAUAUUAAAGUUGCUGCAGUUAAAAAGCUCGUAGUUGAAUUUCGGGACUAAUAUGUCGGUCGUGCCUCGGUACGUACUGGUAUUUUUGGUUUCUCCCUUCUGACGAACUUUGAUGUCAUUAAUUUGGUGUCUUGGGAAAUCAGGACUGUUACUUUGAAAAAUUGAGUGUUUAAAGCAGGCUCACGCUUGAAUACAUUAGCAUGGAAUAAUGAAAUAGGACGUUUGAUUCUAUUUUGUUGGUUUCUAGGAUCGACGUAAUGAUUAAUAGGGAUAGUUGGGGCAUUAGUAUUCAAUUGUCAGAGGUGAAAUUCUUGGAUUUAUUGAAGACUAACUACUGCGAAAGCAUUUGCCAAGGAUGUUUCAUUAAUCAAGAACGAAAGUUAGGGAUCGAAGACGAUCAGAUACCGUCGUAGUCUUAACCAUAAACUAUG
rnacentral:rRNA from 1 species